rnacentral:rRNA from 1 species
AGCCAGACUCCUACGGGAGGCAGCAGUGAGGAAUAUUGGUCAAUGGGCGCUAGCCUGAACCAGCCAAGUAGCGUGAAGGAUGACUGCCCUAUGGGUUGUAAACUUCUUUUAUAUGGGAAUAAAGUGCAGUAUGUAUACUGCUUUGCAUGUACCUUAUGAAUAAGGAUCGGCUAACUACGUGCCAGCAGCCGCGGUCAUACGUAGGAUCCGAGCAUUAUCCGGAGUGACUGGGUGUAAAGAGUUGCGUAGGUGGCAUAAUAAGUAGCUAGUGAAAUCUGGUGGCUCAACCAUUCAGACUAUUAGCUAAACUGUUAAGCUCGAGACCGUUAGGGGUAACUGGAAUUUCUAGUGUAGGAGUGAAAUCCGUAGAUAUUAGAAGGAACACCGAUAGCGUAGGCAGGUUACUGGGACGGUUCUGACACUAAGGCACGAAAGCGUAGGGAGCAAACGGGAUUAGAUACCCCUGUAC